rnacentral:rRNA from 1 species
GAUGAACGCUGGCGGCGUGCCUAAUACAUGCAAGUCGAGCGAACAGACGAGGAGCUUGCUCCUCUGACGUUAGCGGCGGACGGGUGAGUAACACGUGGAUAACCUACCUAUAAGACUGGGAUAACUUCGGGAAACCGGAGCUAAUACCGGAUAAUAUAUUGAACCGCAUGGUUCAAUAGUGAAAGACGGUUUUGCUGUCACUUAUAGAUGGAUCCGCGCCGCAUUAGCUAGUUGGUAAGGUAACGGCUUACCAAGGCAACGAUGCGUACCCGACCUGAGAGGGUGAUCGGCCACACUGGAACUGAGACACGGUCCAGACUCCUACGGGAGGCAGCAGUAGGGAAUCUUCCGCAAUGGGCGAAAGCCUGACGGAGCAACGCCGCGUGAGUUAUGAAGGCCUUCGGAUCGUAAAACUCUGCUAUUAGGGAAGAACAAAUGUGUAAGUAACUAUGCACGUCUUGACGGUACCUAAUCAGAAGGCCACGGCUAACUACGUG